UGCUUGCACCUUUCAAGCGAGUGGCGAACGGGUGAGUAACACGUGGAUAACCUGCCUCAAGGCUGGGGAUAACAUUUGGAAACAGAUGCUAAUACCGAAUAAAACUUAGUAUCGCAUGAUAUCAAGUUAAAAGGCGCUACGGCGUCACCUAGAGAUGGAUCCGCGGUGCAUUAGUUAGUUGGUGGGGUAAAGGCUUACCAAGACGAUGAUGCAUAGCCGAGUUGAGAGACUGAUCGGCCACAUUGGGACUGAGACACGGCCCAAACUCCUACGGGAGGCUGCAGUAGGGAAUCUUCCACAAUGGGCGCAAGCCUGAUGGAGCAACGCCGCGUGUGUGAUGAAGGCUUUCGGGUCGUAAAGCACUGUUGUAUGGGAAGAAAUGCUAAAAUAGGGAAUGAUUUUAGUUUGACGGUACCAUACCAGAAAGGGACGGCUAAAUACGUGCCAGCAGCCGCGGUAAUACGUAUGUCCCGAGCGUUAUCCGGAUUUAUUGGGCGUAAAGCGAGCGCAGACGGUUGAUUAAGUCUGAUGUGAAAGCCCGGAGCUCAACUCCGGAAUGGCAUUGGAAACUGGUUAACUUGAGUGUUGUAGAGGUAAGUGGA
rnacentral:rRNA from 1 species